rnacentral:rRNA from 1 species
GACGAACGCUGGCGGCGUGCUUAACACAUGCAAGUCGAACGGAAAGGCCCUGCUUUUGUGGGGUGCUCGAUUGGCGAACGGGUGAGUAACACGUGAGUAACCUGCCCUUGACUUUGGGAUAACUUCAGGAAACUGGGGCUAAUACCGGUUAGGAGCUCCUGCUGCAUGGUGGGGGUUGGAAAGUUUCGGCGGUUGGGGAUGGACUCGCGGCUUAUCAGCUUGUUGGUGGGGUAGUGGCUUACCAAGGCUUUGACGGGUAGCCGGCCUGAGAGGGUGACCGGCCACAUUGGGACUGAGAUACGGCCCAGACUCCUACGGGAGGCAGCAGUGGGGAAUAUUGCACAAUGGGCGGAAGCCUGAUGCAGCAACGCCGCGUGAGGGAUGACGGCCUUCGGGUUGUAAACCGCUUUCGCCUGUGACGAAGCGUGAGUGACGGUAAUGGGUAAAGAAGCACCGGCUAACUACGUG